rnacentral:rRNA from 1 species
AGAGUUUGAUCAUGGCUCAGAUUGAACGCUGGCGGCAGGCCUAACACAUGCAAGUCGAGCGGAAACGAGUUAUCUGAACCUUCGGGGAACGAUAACGGCGUCGAGCGGCGGACGGGUGAGUAAUGCCUAGGAAAUUGCCCUGAUGUGGGGGAUAACCAUUGGAAACGAUGGCUAAUACCGCAUAAUGCCUACGGGCCAAAGAGGGGGACCUUCGGGCCUCUCGCGUCAGGAUAUGCCUAGGUGGGAUUAGCUAGUUGGUGAGGUAAGGGCUCACCAAGGCGACGAUCCCUAGCUGGUCUGAGAGGAUGAUCAGCCACACUGGAACUGAGACACGGUCCAGACUCCUACGGGAGGCAGCAGUGGGGAGUAUUGCACAAUGGGCGCAAGCCUGAUGCAGCCAUGCCGCGUGUGUGAAGAAGGCCUUCGGGUUGUAAAGCACUUUCAGUCGUGAGGAAGGUAGUGUAGUUAAUAGCUGCACUAUUUGACGUUAGCGACAGAAGAAGCACCGGCUAACUCCGUGCCAGCAGCCGCGGUAAUACGGAGGGUGCGAGCGUUAAUCGGAAUUACUGGGCGUAAAGCGCAUGCAGGUGGUUUGUUAAGUCAGAUGUGAAAGCCCGGGGCUCAACCUCGGAAUUGCAUUUGAAACUGGCAGACUAGAGUACUGUAGAGGGGGGUAGAAUUUCAGGUGUAGCGGUGAAAUGCGUAGAGAUCUGAAG